CUGAGUCAUCUUGUCCUGCAUGACUUGGACCUGGACUGGUGCAAGGAGAGAAAGAAGAAAGGACUGACAGACAUAUAGAAAACCUGGGAUAGAGUGGGCAAACUGCACUCGGAUGGAGCAGCAUCAAUUAUGCAACAAUCCUGAAAGUUGAAGUCAGAAAAAGGUGUCAGAUACUCUGAAGUUGGAGUUUCCCUAGACCUGAAGUUACAGGAAGUUGUGAUCCAUCAAAUGUGUGCACUGGAUACUGAACCCAAGUCCUCUGGAAGAGCAUCAUUCACUCUUAACUACCGAGCCAUUUUACCAGUCCUGAGUCUAUGGAUCUUAACCUAGCAGGUACCCGAUGCUGUUUUCCUUUAUAUGAAGCAUACAUGAGAAAGCUUGGAUAACUAUGAACCUGAUACUAGAUAGCCCAAGG